UGCUAGUCGGAUUCCUUUCCAUUGAGCCAUGAUGGGAACGACUGAAUUUACUUUUCACUCUCUUGGCUUCUGUACCUUUGGAACUAGUCCCCCUCCCAACAAUAUUUUCUUAUGAAAAACUUCAAAAUACAGAAAGUUAAAACAAACAACUGAACAGUGAAAAGUAAUAAAUUCACCACCUUGAAGCCCUAAGAACAUUUGCUAUGAUUGUUUUCGUUCUAAAUUGAAAACAAGGAUGGUGAGUCAUUUUUACAAUAGCAAGUAGAGUUCCGCAAGAGGAGUAUGUUAGAGUAAUUAGUAAAAUCAAAAAGGACACAAAUCUUCGGAAAGAGAAAACAAAAUAAUGUGAUAAGUAUAAGCAGUUGUUAGGAGCAGGAAGUUCAGUAUAACAACUCUGGGCCGGACUGAAGACAGAGACUCUGAACCAUCAGGAGGGUGUUAUUGGCUGUAGUUCUUCAGACCUGAGGGCAAGGGAGGUGGUCCCGGAGCAGAGAAACCUCAGGGCAGGUGGCUUUCUGGCUCACCUGAAAGCCUUCUAAGCCUCUUCUCAGACAUUACCAAGUGGUCAUCACCAAGAAAACUUGCUAAAAAAGCAAUUAACCCUUACAAGCUGUAUCUUUGAGUGUAGAAAUGAGAGCGCUUACAAAAGUGUUGUAAACUAGUUAGAAUCUGAGUGGGGCCUGGAGCGUAGAGUUUUGUUUUUUAAAACCUCCUAAUUAUUCAACACAGCCACUGCUCCCGGGGUGAAACUUGGUUCGGUAGAAAAGAGUUGAUGUCCAGAAAUCUGAAUUUUUAACAAGCACCCAAGGACUUCACUGCAGAUAUCACAGGGUUGGCAGAGUCCAGGAAUACCUUGAAUGACUGCAUCAAAUGCAAAGGAUUGGCCCAACUAGAUCAAGAUGAAAUGUGAUGGAAAUAAAGGUUUCCUGGAGGCAGUGACUCCUACAUCUUGAAGAUGAGCAAAGAAGUUACCAAAGAAGUGGAUGGAAGAAAAGGUUGUUACCAAAGAAGUCAAUGGUGGAUGGAGGGGCACCUUUGGAGAUAUGAGGGAGAUAUGUUACAAAUAUGUACUUUGGUUGAAAUUAAUCAAGUAUGGAAAAAUUGAUACGAAAGGAGAAAAUGGAAGAAAAAGAAACCCAGUGAGGCUUUCAUACGCUUUGCAUCCCGAGGACUAGAAGAUUUCCUGGCAUAUUAGUUAAUGACUCUAAUUGGAGAGAUUGAUGAUGAAACACAUCAGUACAGGGUACUUCUCCUUCGUCUAAUUAAACUUCCUGAAUCAUGGAAUUUAAAUUAUACGUGGAGGUGCUCUGUCAAAAGAGGUGCUCCUGCUUCUCCAGUAAUUGAAAGCAGCUGGACAUUUACCCGAUCCACAACAUCUGGGAAAUUUUCAUCUUUUUUUUUUUUUUUUCCAAGAAUGUAUACACAUAAAAGCAAGUUUCCAAAAUAGAUUUCAAAUUUGUCCUCGUUCAAGCAUUUUUGUUGAUUUUAAUUUGUCAUUAAAGUUAUGUCAUAGAUGGAGGGGGACCUAGUUUAAGUUUGUACUUCAAUGCUUGUGUGUUUACCUGAGCCCUAGGUUUAUCCAGCCCUCAGGUCUAUGCUUAGGGCAUGACAUUUCAGGGUUAUUUCACAUGGGUUUAAGAUUCUUUUGUGGAAUGCGGCCUCUGAGUGAUAGCCCCGGGAGCUAGGUCAGAUAAGGAUGGAACUCGGGUAAACUCUGCCUCAGAAGCUGAGACUUCCUGGGGCUGUGUUAGCCUUCUGAAACUGAUGAAAUGCUUCCCAAGAUGCUGGCAAGGUUUUGCCAAGGUGGAUCCCAGGCUCUGAUUUCACUUUUCUCUUUAUCUGGAAGAACCCUUCUUUCGAAGUGAGGUGGAAGUUAGUGUAAGACACAGGGGAUCUUAAAAUAUACAGGUAUGUAAAUAUUUUGAUUCUUCACUCAAAACAUCCAUAGGAUUUGUAUGCGAAAUAACUAACUCUCUAUACUUAAGCUAUAAUGUACUGAUUUUCAAAUAUCUCAAUGUGUUUGGAAUAAUUUAGAAUAACCCUCUAAACAUUUUAGAGUACUUAUGCAAAAAAGAAAGUCAAGUUAAAUUCUUAAGUCAUCAAUAGUUAUAAAUUGGGAUAUAUCCAAAAGACACGUUUGAAAUUGC